UUAUGGUUUUAAAAAUUUAUUUAAAGUUUAUUUUACAUAUAAAUUUUAGUGUUAAAUUUUAUAUAUUUUAAUAAUAAUAAUAUUUUUUGUAGUAAUUAAUAUUAAACAAUUUAAGAAAUUAUGAUUUAGUAAUAUUUUAUAAUUAAUAACAAAUUUUGUGCCAGCAGUUGCGGUUAAACAAAAGUUAAUUUAAAUUUUAUUAGUAAUUAAUAAAUAAAAAAAAAAUUAUAUUUUAUAAAUAUAAUAUUAUAAAUUAAAUUUUAAAUUAUUAGGUGAAAUUUUAAUUUAAUAUAAAUUUAUAUAAAAUUUAUGAUUUAAUAAAUUUUAUAAAAAACUAGGAUUAGAUACCCUAUUAUUAAAAUUUAAAUAUAAAAUACUAAAAUAGUAGAUAAUUAUUUAUUGAAACUUAAAUAAUUUGGCGGUAUUUUAGUUCAUUUAGAGGAAUCUGUUUAAUAAUUGAUAAUCCACGAAUAAAUUUACUUAAUUUUUUUAUUUUGUAUAUCGUUGUUAAAAAAAUAUUUUUUAAUAAUAAAUAAUAUUUAGAAAUUUAAAUAAAAAAUUAAAUCAGAUCAAGAUGCAGAUUAUAAUUAAGAAUAUAAUGGAUUACAAUAAAUUUAUUUAAAUGAAUAUUAAUUUGUAAAAUUUAAUUGAAAGUGGAUUUAAAUGUAAUUUUAUUUAAUUUGAUAAAAUGAUUGAAAAUUAAAAUAUGUACAUAUUGCCCGUCGCUUUCAUAUAAUUUAUUAAAGUUGAAAUAAGUCGUAACAAAGUAGAGGUACUGGAAAGUGUUUCUAGAAAGAA
rnacentral:ncRNA from 1 species